AACCCCACCUGCCUCCUCCUCUCGCGCACCCCACCCUCAUCUACCACGAUUCCCCUCCCCUUGAUCCACCUUCUGCCCCGCCGUAAACCUCUCCCACCAAUCCCCACCUCCUUCCUCCUCCGGCGCACCAACCCUGCGCCCACCCGCCCGACGCGGCCUCCUCAUCGGCGCAGCCUUCCUCCCCCCAGUGCUGCCUUCCUCUACCCGCCCCGCGGCCUUCUCCCAGGCGCCGCCGCGCACCCAGCCAUGCGUCACCAGGGGAGCGACCCAGCGCCGCCCCGCGUGUACCUGCCCUCGCCGCCACCCUGGGUCAAAUCCGCCUCCACGGCGGCCGGAUCCGAGCUCGCUGGUCCCCGCUGCAUGGCCCGCCCCUUCCCAUGGUCCUCAACCUCUCUCUGCGUGGACUGCUCCGGAUCCGGCGUGAUCCGCGCUGUACCGAGCUUCCACCACCGGAUCCCAUUCCGCUUCUUCCCUCGGGCCUGCCCCAACACCCGAAGACUCCACCACCGGCGAGCGCGGGCCUUCCUCCCACUGCUUCCUCCCUCCUCUCUGGUGGCUGGCCUCCCCAACACAAGAUCUCGCCCAUCGUCGUGCCAUGGCUCCAGCACCUCCCUCAUCCGCAUUGUACCCCACUGCUUGCAGUUCAUUUUGAUUUUUUUUGAAGCUCAUGGGAUUUUGUUUUGCAGUUUACUGUGAUAUCCAUGGCACUGGCUGCACCACACCUUCUCCUGUUGCUUUGUCCGAGGCGAGGCCAGGCUCUGCCGCAUCGGGAGUCAGGGUGUGGCAUGGCACACUUGCGCUGUGCGGUGCUGUGUUGUGCAGUUAACUACUGGGUACUCAAGUGCCAAAUUUGGAAGUUCACUUUGCUCUAGAAUGUGUCAAAAAAAGGUGAUGCAGUUCGUCCGUCCAAGGCAUGCGGUUUUCGAUUGCAUUUUAUUUUUGUGGAUUA